GUGACUCAAAGUUAAAUUACAGCACGUAUGAUAUUGAGUUCUUUGCCAUUGUUCGAGCUCUUAAGCAUUGGAGUUCAUACUUGGCAUACAAUGAGUUCAUCCUGUAUUCUGACCAUGAUGCUUUGAAGCAUAUUAAUAGUCAGGAGAAGCUCUCUUCAAGGCAUGCUGCAUGGGCCGCAUAUAUUCAGCAAUUCACCUUUGUUAUAAAGCAUAAGUCUGGUGCUUUAAACAAGGUAACCGAUGCUCUAAGUCGGCGAACACAUCUCUUGGUCACCAUGCGAGCUAAGGUAUUGGAUUUUGAUUUGUUUCGUGAAUUAUUGCCUAGUGAUCCUUAUUUUGGGCCGAUUAUGAAAGAUGUAGAGGCUGGAAAUCGAGCAGAUUAUCAGAUGCAUGAUGGAUUUCUAUUCAAAGGCAAUCAGUUGUGUGUGCCGGCAAGUAGUUUACGCCUCAAAAUCAUAAAGGAGUUGCAUGAGGAGGGACACGUUGGGAGAGACAAGACGGUUCAGCUUGUAGGAGACUCUUACUAUUGGCCUACAAUGCGCAAAGAGAUUACAAGGUUUGUUGAGGGUUGCCAGGUUUGUCAAGUUUCCAAAGGAACGGCGACCAAUGUAGGCUUAUACAUGUCACUGCCUGUACCGAAUCAGCCAUGGGCCAACAUUAGUAUGGAUUUUAUCCUAGGAUUGCCAAGAACGCAGAAAAGAAAUGAUUCUAUCUUUGUUGUGGUGGAUCGGUUCUAAAAAAUGGCACACUUUAUUGCCUGAAAGAAGACUACAGAUGCUGUUAAUGUCGCCCAACUCUAUUUCCGUGAGGUUUAUCGUUUGCAUGGGCUGCCCAAAUCUAUUGUCUCCGAUAGGGACACACGAUUCCUUAGUCACUUUUGGCGCUGUCUGUGGAAGUUGGCCAACACAAAACUUGAUUUCAGCACUGCGUAUCAUCCGCAAACUGACGGUCAGACCGAGGUGGUUAAUCGCUCUGUGGGUAAUCUGCUUUGUAGCCUUGUGGGUGAUCAUCUAAAGUCUUGGGACCAACGGUUGUAUCAAGCUGAGUUCGCCUACAAUCGCUCAGUCAAUCGCAGCUUUGGGUUUAGUCCCUUCUUUGUUACAUAUGGGUUUAAUCCUCGAGCGCCCCUUGACUUGGCUCCUGUUCCGGAUUUGAAGCGUCCCAAUGGUAAAGCGGAGGAUCUGAUUUCAGGUUUGUAAGCGGUUCACAAGAUGAUUGUGCAACACUUCGAAGAAUCUUCUGCAAAGUAUAAGCAAGCUGCCGACAAAAAGUCGUCGUGUCGUGGAAUUUGAAGUGGGUGACUUUGUGUGGGCUGUUUUGACAAAGGAUCGCUUCCCAGCGGGUGAGUACAACAAGCUUGUAGCUCGGAAGAUUGGACCAUUGGAGAUCCUUGAGAAAAUUAACCCCAAUGCAUACAAGUUGAAGCUUCCAAGUCAGAUCCGCACUUCUGCUACGUUCAAUGUCAAACAUCUCAUUCCAUACCGAGGUGAUAGUUUCGAUGAGGAGUCUGCGAAUUCGAGGGCAAAUUCUCUACAACUUGGAGAGGAUGAUGCAGACUUGAUUGCAUGUGCAUACAUGGAUCAGCAUGAGAGACAAAGGGCAAAGUAGUAAUAAGAUCUCAGUGGAUUUUUCUAAAAUUGGAAUAUUCUUGAAAUCCUCUGAAUCUUCAUAUAUUGUCCAUGAUAAGAAGGAUCUGAUUUGCUAGUAUCUUUUAUUUCCAUGAUAGGAAGGAUUUGAUUUGGUAGUAUCUUUUAAUUAGGAAGUUUCUUCUUUCUAGUAAUUGUUUUGUUUGGCUAGGAAGUAUUACCUUUUUUUUAAUUUCCUAAUAUGUUUAGGUUCUAGUAGCCUAUAAAUAAACACUGUAAGCCUUAGGGCAAAUCAGUUGAUUAAUAAAAAUUUGAGCUUUGCUUGAGAA